rnacentral:rRNA from 1 species
AACGAACGCUGGCGGCAUGCCUAAUACAUGUAAGUCGAACGAGAUCUUCGGAUCUAGUGGCGCACGGGUGCGUAACGCGUGGGAAUCUGCCCUUGGGUUCGGAAUAACGUCGGGAAACUGACGCUAAUACCGGAUGAUGACGUAAGUCCAAAGAUUUAUCGCCCAAGGAUGAGCCCGCGUAGGAUUAGCUAGUUGGUAAGGUAAAGGCUUACCAAGGCGACGAUCCUUAGCUGGUCUGAGAGGAUGAUCAGCCACACUGGGACUGAGACACGGCCCAGACUCCUACGGGAGGCAGCAGUAGGGAAUAUUGGACAAUGGGCGCAAGCCUGAUCCAGCAAUGCCGCGUGAGUGAUGAAGGCCUUAGGGUUGUAAAGCUCUUUUACCCGGGAUGAUAAUGACAGUACCGGGAGAAUAAGCCCCGGCUAACUCCGUGCCAGCAGCCGCAGUAA